rnacentral:pre_miRNA from 1 species
AGUGAAAUUGUUGAAUUAUAUAUAUUCAACUUUUUGAAGAACAGCUUAGCUCUCUUCCACAGUGGCUGAAUCAUUUCACAUUUUCACCAGCAAU